rnacentral:rRNA from 1 species
UCCAAUGAGCUGUGAUGGGGAAGGAAAUUAAGUACGGAAGUUCCUGAUUUCACGCUGUCAAGAAAAGCCUCUAGGAAGAGUAGUACUGCCCGUACCGCAAACCGACACAGGUAGAUGAGGAGAGAAUCCUAAGGUGAGCGAGAGAACUCUCGUUAAGGAACUCGGCAAAAUGACCCCGUAACUUCGGGAGAAGGGGUGCUCUAUUAGGGUGCAAGCCCGAGAGAGCCGCAGUGAAUAGGCCCAGGCGACUGUUUAGCAAAAACACAGGUCUCUGCAAAACCGUAAGGUGACGUAUAGGGGCUGACGCCUGCCCGGUGCUGGAAGGUUAAGAGGAGUGCUUAGCUUCGGCGAAGGUACGAAUUGAAGCCCCAGUAAACGGCGGCCGUAACUAUAACGGUCCUAAGGUAGCGAAAUUCCUUGUCGGGUAAGUUCCGACCCGCACGAAAGGCGCAACGAUCUGGGCACUGUCUCAACGAGAGACUCGGUGAAAUUAUAGUACCUGUGAAGAUGCAGGUUACCCGCGACAGGACGGAAAGACCCCGUGGAGCUUUACUGCAACCUGAUAUGGAAUGUUUGUACCGCUUGUACAGGAUAGGUAGGAGCCGAAGAGACGUGUGCGCUAGCAUACGAGGAGGCAAUGGUGGGAUACUACCCUGGCUGUAUGACCAUUCUAACCCGCCACGCUUAGCGCGUGGGGAGACAGUGUCAGGUGGGCAGUUUGACUGGGGCGGUCGCCUCCUAAAGAGUAACGGAGGCGCCCAAAGGUUCCCUCAGAAUGGAUGGAAAUCAUUCGCAGAGUGUAAAGGCACAAGGGAGCUUGACUGCGA